rnacentral:tRNA from 1 species
UCCCUGGAGGAAUAGUGGAUAGGCCACGGAGCUCUCACUGCUGUGGCCCGGGUUCAAUUCCCGGCUAGGGAA